UGGCUUUUGCGAUUCUGGUUUCAGGACACU
rnacentral:piRNA from 1 species